rnacentral:rRNA from 1 species
AUGGGAUCUCUUAUGCCUAAGGAAGGAAAUACCCCUAAGUAUGCCGAACUCUAUAUAUAUGAUACCCAGAAUGAGGUGCAAAACAGGAUUCAGGCUUUAGAAAAGGGUGAAAAGAGUGAUGGUGGUUUAGAUGAAUCUAUUGUUGAAGGCUUGAUGCAUAUGCUUGAUACACACAAUUCUUAUGUCAAAACGUUUAGAUCAGCUAGAGAAAUACUAGCAGCCAAUAAGCAUGCCGAGAUAGCCAUUCGUUUAGUUGCCCCUGGAGAAUCUGAUGGCCCACAGUUUAGCCUUCCUACAACUGAUGAGCUAGCAUCUUUAAUGUUUGGUGAGUUCACGGUGGAGGCUUCUUGCCGUGACAUAAUAAUACACGGUAGAGAUGACAAUCUGCAGCAAAUAUCUUCUUUGCAAACUUCAUAUAUGCCUUUGCAGUAUCCUCUUCUCUUCCCCUAUGCAGAACGUGGGUUUCGGCUCGGGCUUAAAUAUAUUGGUUUAGACCCUUUAGAUAUUAGCAAAAGAACCAGGCUCACUAUGUAG